GGGACAACAGCUGGAAACGACUGCUAAUACCGCAUAAGCCCACGGGUCGGCAUCGACCAGAGGGAAAAGGAGCAAUCCGCUUUGAGAUGGCCUCGCGUCCGAUUAGCUAGUUGGUGAGGUAACGGCCCACCAAGGCAACGAUCGGUAGCCGGACUGAGAGGUUGAACGGCCACAUUGGGACUGAGACACGGCCCAGACUCCUACGGGAGGCAGCAGUGGGGAAUAUUGCACAAUGGGGGAAACCCUGAUGCAGCGACGCCGCGUGGAGGAAGAAGGUCUUCGGAUUGUAAACUCCUGUUGUUGAGGAAGAUAAUGACGGUACUCAACAAGGAAGUGACGGCUAACUACGUGCCAGCAGCCGCGGUAAAACGUAGGUCACAAGCGUUGUCCGGAAUUACUGGGUGUAAAGGGAGCGCAGGCGGGAAGACAAGUUGGAAGUGAAAUCCAUGGGCUCAACCCAUGAACUGCUUUCAAAACUGUUUUUCUUGAGUAGUGCAGAGGUAGGCGGAAUUCCCGGUGUAGCGGUGGAAUGCGUAGAUAUCGGGAGGAACACCAGUGGCGAAGGCGGCCUACUGGGCACCAACUGACGCUGAGGCUCGAAAGUGUGGGUAGCAAACAGGAUUAGAUACCCUGGUAGUCCACACCGUAAACGAUGAUUACUAGGUGUUGGAGGAUUGACCCCUUCAGUGCCGCAG
rnacentral:rRNA from 1 species